rnacentral:rRNA from 1 species
AGGACGAACGCUGGCGGCGUGCUUAACACAUGCAAGUCGAACGAUGAACUCACCUUCGGGUGGGGGAUUAGUGGCGAACGGGUGAGUAACACGUGGGCAACCUGCCCCUGACUCUGGGAUAACUCCGGGAAACCGGAGCUAAUACCGGAUAUGAACACGAAGGACAUCCUUUGUGUUGGAAAGUUUUUCGGUCAGGGAUGGGCCCGCGGCCUAUCAGCUAGUUGGUGGGUAAUGGCCCACCAAGGCGACGACGGGUA